rnacentral:lncRNA from 1 species
GCCAUUCCGAGUCCGGCGGACGAAGUUGGCCUGCCCCACCCCCCAAGGCUAUAGCCCACCCGUUUUUGUGGGCUUUUUCCGCAAGACGAACUUGGCGCCCCGGCCUUCGGGCAGUUAUUUUUGGGCGCGGCUUUGCGAACGGCCACGUUUUGGCACACGGAGGCGACUUGCAAAGUCUCACGCCAUUCCGAGUCCGGCGGACGAUGUUGGCCAGCCCCACCCCCCAAGGCUAUAGCCCACCCGUUUUUGUGGCCUUUUUCCGCUGGACGAACUUGGCGCCCCGGCCUUCGGGCGGUUAUUUUUGGGCGCGGCUGUGCCCGCUGCC